AUUGAACGCUGGCGGCAGGCUUAACACAUGCAAGUCGAGCGGGGGAAGGUAGCUUGCUACUGGACCUAGCGGCGGACGGGUGAGUAAUGCUUAGGAAUCUGCCUAUUAGUGGGGGACAACAUCUCGAAAGGGAUGCUAAUACCGCAUACGUCCUACGGGAGAAAGCAGGGGAUCUUCGGACCUUGCGCUAAUAGAUGAGCCUAAGUCGGAUUAGCGAGUUGGUGGGGUAAAGGCCUACCAAGGCGACGAUCUGUAGCGGGUCUGAGAGGAUGAGCCGCCACACUGGGACUGAGACACGGCCCAGACUCCUACGGGAGGCAGAAGUGGGGAAUAUUGGACAAUGGGUGGAACCCUGAUCCAGCCAUGCCGCGUGUGUGAAGAAGGCCUUAUGGUUGUAAAGCACUUUAAGCGAGGAGGAGGCUACUUUAGUUAAUACCUAGAGAUAGUGGACGUUACUCGCAGAAUAAGCACCGGCUAACUCUGUGCCAGCCGCCGCAGUAA
rnacentral:rRNA from 1 species